AAAGCAUAUGAAGCAGAUUUACAUUGUUCAGCUAGGGAUAAAGGGACAACAGAAGGCAAAGAUUCCCUUCAAGCCAAUCCCAGCUUGCUCAGGAUAACUGCCAGAGUAGGGGAGGUUUCAUCUGCAAAUGCCACCCACGCCCUGCAGUCAAGAGUCCCUGAAAGUCAACCUGCCCAGAGUGCUACAAUCCAGAUGUGCCUAUUUAACCACUGUGUUGACACUGUCUUGUUUGCAGAAGACAAUAACAGAGCUCAGGAUUUCCCAUGAAUUCCCUUCCCAUCUCCAGCUGAUUUAAAAGAGCUAUUUUCAGGCUUUCCUGAGAAGCACAAAAGAGAAGAGUGAAAGAGUUGGACCAGAACGGCUAUCCAGAGAAUUCUCUUGCCUAGCAACUUUCUUCAGGACAGAAGUUUGUGGCACAGGCUGGUCCUAAGUAGAUUGACCUUAUCUACCACACAAAUCGUGAAGUGGCCUGGAAAACCAUCCUGACCUUAGCACUCAAUGAUGGACACCCACUACCUGCCCUUCAGCUUUUCGAACAUGUUGUAAUGUACCAGGUUCAGCCACCUUAUCAUAAACAUAUCAGUGUCCAGAACCAAAUGGAACCAAAUAAACUUUCCAUUGUAAGUUAUC